CGAGCUAAAACUAGAACCGAGGCCAAAAGGAACCACCAUCUUCUCCCCGAUCUCCCCCUUUUCCUCUCUUCCUUCGAUUUCGCCGAUCGCCGUCACGACGAUCUGCUCCCGGCCGCCUCAUUCUCCGCUUUCCGAUCUACGCGCUCGGCCUCGGAUCGAGGAGUUCUUAGCUCGGGAGGUUGUAUACAGGUGCUCAGCAAGAUAGAUGGUAUAUAAUGCUGACUUAAACGGCUUUGUCAAUCGCACGAAGAACCCGGAACGUUCGACUUCAAAGGAACAAGGGUGGAAAGAGGGCUUGGGUCCUCCUUGAGAUAAGAAUUUUGUUUUGAGACUUGCAACGAUGAUGGUGGAUUCAGGUCUAGCUUUGGAGCGUGGAGCUGCUGACAAUGUAUCACCUGAAAAGGAUCACGAAGUAAAUAGCAAUUAUGCAAGUGGAAGAUGGAAAAGUGUGGAUGCUCGUUGGCAGUGUGGAUAUGCUAGCUUUAAGGGGAAAAGACCAAGCAUGGAGGAUAACUAUGAUCAUAAAUCAGCCGAAAUUGAUGGAAAAUUGAUCGGCCUUUUUGGGAUAUUUGAUGGACAUGGUGGUUCACGCGCUUCUGAAUAUUUGAAGGAACACCUGUUCAACAACCUAACAAAGCAUCCAUUAUUGAUGGUGGAUACAAAAAUCGCAAUAAGUGAGACAUUUAAAAGAACUGAUUCAGAGUUCUUAGCUUCUGAAAGCAAUACGACUAGAGAUGAUGGUUCUACAGCCUCUACUGCAGUUUUGAUUGACAAACAAUUAUAUGUAGCUAAUGUCGGUGAUUCACGUGCCGUAAUAUGUAAGGCUGGAAAAGCAAUUCCUCUCUCUGAUGAUCACAAGCCGAAUAGAAGCGACGAGCGCAAGAGAAUUGAGGAUGCUGGAGGAGUUGUCAUGUGGGCUGGUACCUGGAGGGUUGGAGGCAUAUUAGCAAUGUCUCGAGCAUUUGGCAACCGCCUUCUAAAACAAUUUGUUCUAGCAGAGCCUGAGAUUCAGGAACAAGUGGUGGAUGAGGACUUGGAAUUUCUGGUUCUGGCCAGUGAUGGGCUUUGGGAUGUCGUGUCAAACGAGGAUGCAGUUUCCCUUGUGAGAAUGGAAGAGGAACCUGAAGUUGCUGCUAGGAAGUUAACAGAGACUGCCUUCGCACGUGGUAGUUCGGACAACAUUACAUGCGUUGUCGUUCGAUUUCUUCACAACAGAAUGGAUAUCGAUUAUCCUCCAUUAGUGGCUCAAGAUCAACAUGUUCCAUGUGGAGGCUCUCAAGCUAACUGUUGAGAUGCAAAUCAAAGCAUGACUAGUUUUGCAUAUCAGAUAUUGUGCUGCACCAGCCAAGCAUUAAGUUCAGGGUCGUGACGUUUGGCUUUCCGAGCUGUUCAAUUUGGACCCACAAGUUUGCUCCAAUUCGAACCGAGGGUCGGAGUAGUGGAUGUGUGUCCAGUCUUUUCGUUCAGUAUCUCCACUCCCUCUGUGAUGGGGCCUAUAGAAGGAUGGCCCGUGCCUUUCUUCUUUCUCAAGCAAUGCUUUGUGUUCUACCAUCUAUCAUCCAGGCAUCCACCGCCUUCUGCGGAAGAGCAGAGCACUAGCCAAGUAGAUCGCCACUGGAUGAUCCAUUUCCUCCGAAGAUCGCCGAAAAUCUCGUUGCUCUAACAACGGUUUGAGUUCGGGCUCUGAUUGAUCCGAUGUCGCGGUAGAGUUUGAUGGCGUCAGAGGAUGUUGUGGGGAAGAGCAUUGGGGGAGUCGGCGGUGGCAACUAUUGUAAGCCUCGCGGAGGAAGCAAAGCUCGAGCGAGAGUGAUUCAAGGCUCCGUCUAUGCGAUCCUUAGCAUCUGCAAGUCCCUUGUCGCAAGGGGAGUAGUCGCCGGAGGAGUGUAAAUCAACAGUUAGAAGAUCGCGGUACAUGCUAAUGAAAAAUGACAGGCACUGUGAGCAUUUAUUCAUAUUCUCUGUUCCUUACAUUGGAUGAUCAGAUCCAUGGUGAAAUAUUGGGGGUUAGCUAAUUUGGAUAAGCAGGUAAGUGUACAGAUAAGGAAUAUUGUGCUUCCUCAUAUAGUUCAAAGGUUAGAGUGAUGAUUGGUUGAUGAUUCCUGGUCACAGUUCCUCAGAUACUGAGAUCAAGGAGAUGAGGAAGGAGCCCUCUUUCAUUGAUACUUUCACCCGCACUUUUAGGAAAAAAGAUGAGACUUGGAGUGGGGCAAGAGCAAAAGCAGUAAAGGAAAAGUAUGAUGAACUCGAGCUAGCCCAAACAUGCUCACAAGCUGGUGGUGUCGAUAGUUAAGGGUUUGAGGACUCUGUUGGCAAUAAUUUGAGUUUAUGGUUGGAGGCAAGUGGAGGACCAAAAGGGGGAAGGAUAUUAGGGAUGAGUUCCUUAAGCAGAACCCAAAGAAUAGUUGGAACAUUUUCCUCCUCACCAGCACUUACAACCCAAGUAAAUAACUUGACUGAAGAGGUUAGCAAUUUGAAGGAAAUAUUAUCACAAAGAGGCCUAGAAAGGGCGCAAAGAGACCUAGAAAGGGCGCAAAGAGACCUAGAAAGGGAGCAAGAUAUGAGAGAGUUGCGCCGACAAUAAGAUUUUAUCAUGCGACACCUUCAGUUGAGCUCCGCUCUAAGUCAGAUUCCUCCGCAAGACAAUGAUGAUGAUGGCGGUGAUGGUUAUUCAUGAUUUUAAUUAUGGUUGAUGAGGCGAAAUAUAUGUCGGAGAAAAAAAUUAUUUUUCCUAAAGAUGGUGGAGCUCGUGUGAAUGAUCUGUGCAUCGAAGAAGACUUUGGACUCUAGUACCCAAUUCAGUUAAGGUAAGCUUUUCGCUGUUUGAUUUUUAUUAUUUAUUAAUUUAAUGAGCCUUCGUGUGUGAGGUUGUAAAUUACAUCCUUGGAGUAGAAAUAAGAAUAUCGAACUGAAGCCGGAAUUGAAUUGGAGAGACAAUAUUAUAAGUUUUUUGUUUUUUCCUCCCAAAAAAAACCCCACGUAUCCAGUGAACGAAUUAAGGAUAUUCAUGCAGACAGAUGGCUCUUUUGAUCUCUGCAAGGAGUAUAGCCGUAGAGGUAUUCGUAUUGCUGGAACCGCUUUUUUUUAGAAGUUCGUAAUUUUAUUUUGGAUGCGAUAGAUUCUUCACUGUCUUGUGCGCGACCAGAAGGUUUAUCUAGUGGAAUCCAGGGCCUUAAUUACCUAGUUUUCGAAUGUUCAGUAGAUAAUGAUAUAUGUAUGCAUGCCUCUAGGUGUCUGUAUAUAAUUCCAUAGGAAGCGUUUGCCUCUAUAAGAAUUUUUGUAUGGAGGUUCUUUUUAGUAGUUCGAUUGUUCAUAGUGAAUUUGUCGUUGCCAGCUGUUAUUAUUUUUUUUAUCCAACAACUGAAAUGAGACCCAUAUAAUUUAUAUUCUUUAGUAUAUAGUUU